ACUGAGCGUUGUGGUGGGUGCCUGUGGUCCCAGCUACUUGGGAGGCUGUGGUAGGAGACUCGCUUGAGCCCAGGAGUUGGAGGUUGCUGUGAGCUGUGAUGCCAUAGCACUCUAUCCAGGGGGACAGCUUGAGGCUCUGUCUCAAAAAAAAAAAAAAGAAAGAAAGAAUUAAACAGAAGAUUUUGUUUUUUGAGACAGAGCCUCAAGCUGUCCCCCUGGAUAGAGUGCUGUGACAUCACAGCUCACAGCAACCUCCAACUCCUGGGCUCAAGCGAGUCUCCUGCCUCUGU
rfam:Otolemur garnettii contig016389, whole genome shotgun sequence.